rnacentral:lncRNA from 1 species
AAACGUUCGAUAACAUGCAUUUUGAAUUUUUUGCAGACAUGACCUCGUCAGUCCUACUGAUGCUGUUUUCGAGAUUUUCAAACAAAGAAUCAGACAUUGGAAGGAAAAGCAAAACGUACUUUGUUCGUAUCAUUUUAGGAUUAAUUAUGAGUAUUGCAGCGUUUACAGCUGUUUGUUUAAUUUACAAAGAAACAUUUAUCAACUAUAAAGCUGCCAUUGGAUAUUUUCGAUGAUAAUAAUUCAUUUAGUUUGGAUAACCUUGAGUGAACUCAUAACAAAUUGUAGAUUGGGAUAUUGACAUUGAAGAUGACAACAUCAACAAGUAUAUAAUACUUUCUGCUGCCAACAAAUUAAGGGACAUUGUUUUCGACAUAUAUCUUUUGUUCUAUUCGCUUAUUUUAUCAGAAUGGGAAAUGACAUACUUUUCAAUAACGAUUAUUGUUCUAUUCGUCUCUGACAUAUUGUGUAAUUUUACUUUAAUAUUGAUAACGGUUUAUAUGAAAUUUGAAGGCAGAGAUGAGGAAGAAGAAAACAAACUUUUCCUACUAGCAUUUUUCUUUUUUUGUCCGAUAUUUACCCCGUUAUAUUCAUGCUUAGCUACGGUUGAUGAGUAACGACACUUACAUAUUAGACAUAUUGGAGUUAAGAUAUAUUUGUUUGCAUAACGUUCCGUGCGUACCAACAAGACUAUCAAAUUAAUUGUUAACAUAAAUAACAAUAAAUGGUAAAUAUUUGUUUGUGAAAUGAUUCGUAUGUUGUGUAUUGGUCAGAAAGACUUAGACACGUUGACACCCAUAUUUCUAACAUAAUGCAGGAAUUAUUGGUAAAUGUGAGAUUGAUGUGUCUUCCAUUUUAUCAACAUAUAUGAAAAUAGAUAUGUAUAUGUUCAAUAUAAGA